GUAGGGAAUCUUCGGCAAUGGACGAAAGUCUGACCGAGCAACGCCGCGUGAGUGAAGAAGGUUUUCGGAUCGUAAAACUCUGUUGUUAGAGAAGAAUGUUGAUUAGAGUGGAAAAUUAAUCAAGUGACGGUAUCUAACCAGAAAGGGACGGCUAACUACGUGCCAGCAGCCGCGGUAAUACGUAGGUCCCGAGCGUUGUCCGGAUUUAUUGGGCGUAAAGCGAGCGUAGGUGGUUUAAUAAGUCUGAUGUAAAAGGCAGUGGCUCAAACAUUGUGUGCAUUGGAAACUGUUAGACUUGAGUGCAGUAGAGGAGAGUGGAAUUCCAUGUGUAGCGGUGAAAUGCGUAGAUAUAUGGAGGAACACCGGUGGCGAAAGCGGCUCUCUGGUCUGUAACUGACGCUGAGGUUCGAAAGCGUGGGUAGCCAACAGGAUUAGAUACCCUGGUAGUCC
rnacentral:rRNA from 1 species